rnacentral:rRNA from 1 species
UGGGGAAUAUUGCACAAUGGGCGGAAGCCUGAUGCAGCGACGCGGCGUGGGGGAUGAAGGCCUUCGGGUUGUAAACUCCUUUCGACAGGGACGAAGCUUUUGUGACGGUACCUGUAUAAGAAGCACCGGCUAACUACGUGCCAGCAGCCGCGGUAAUACGUAGGGUGCGAGCGUUGUCCGGAAUUACUGGGCGUAAAGAGCUCGUAGGUGGUUUGUCGCGUCGUCUGUGAAAUUCCGGGGCUUAACUCCGGGCGUGCAGGCGAUACGGGCUGACUUGAGUGCUGUAGGGGAGACUGGAAUUCCUGGUGUAGCGGUGAAAUGCGCAGAUAUCAGGAGGAACACCGAUGGCGAAGGCAGGUCUCUGGGCAGUAACUGACGCUGAGGAGCGAAAGCAUGGGUAGCGAACAGGAUUAGAUACCCUGGUAGUCCAUGCCGUAAACGGUGGGCGCUAGGUGUAGGGGGCUUCCACGUCUUCUGUGCCGUAGCUAACGCAUUAAGCGCCCCGCCUGGGGAGUACGGCCGCAAGGCUA